rnacentral:rRNA from 1 species
UGCGCCCGGUGAAUCAUCCAGCGUUCUCGCUGGUGCACUUUGCCGGGCACAGGCCAGCAUCAGUUUGGCGCGGGGGACAAAGGCUUCGGGAAUGUGGCUCCCCCGGGAGUGUUAUAGCCCGCUGCGUAAUACCCUGCGCCGGACUGAGGUACGCGCAUCGCAAGGAUGCUGGCGAUAAUGGUCAUCAGCG